CCUACGGGAGGCAGCAGUGAGGAAUAUUGGUCAAUGGACGCAAGUCUGAACCAGCCAUGCCGCGUGCAGGAUGAAGGCUCUAUGAGUUGUACACUGCUUUUGUACGAGGGUAAAACCCGAUAAGUGUAUCGGGUUGACAGUAUCGUACGAAUAAGGAUCGGCUAACUCCGUGCCAGCAGCCGCGGUAAUACGGAGGAUCCGAGCGUUAUCCGGAUGUAUUGGGUUUAAAGGGUGCGUAGGCGGUUUGAUAAGUUAGAGGUGAAAUGUCGGGGCUCAACCCCGAAACUGCCUCUAAUACUGUUGGACUAGAGAAUAGUUGCGGUAGGCGGAAUGUAUGGUGUAGCGGUGAAAUGCUUAGAGAUCAUACAGAACACCGAUUGCGAAGGCAGCGUACCAAACUAUAUCUGACGUUGAGGCACGAAAGCGUGGGUAGCAAACAGGAUUAGAUACCCUGGUAGUC
rnacentral:rRNA from 1 species